UAGUAUUUUAAUUUGCAAAUAAAUGUAUACAGGUGGUGAGGGAAAAUCAAGAAGCAUCUUUGGUACCUUCUUAUAUAAUGGGAAUGUCAAAUUUGAAUGGCCAGCAAAUAAAAUAAAAUACCAGUUGACAAACAUUUUGAAACAGAAAACCUAAACCUGUGCAGAAACCUUGACUGACUGGAAUGAAAUAUGGAAGGAUCUACAUGGUCAACUGAUGACUUGAUGCACUUUACGCUCAACACUUUGACAAAUUAUUGUUGUGCCCCUUCAGUAUUGGUAAAGUAUUGGAGGGAAAAAAAUUCAAGAGUGCUGAAAUUUACUGACAUCACAAAACUAAGUCACUUUGUGUGGAACGUACAUUCAUUUCACAGCAUAGCUAGAAUUGCAUAGAGUGUACUUGAAUCUUCCUGUUUAAUCUGAUGUAACUGGGCUUUAAUUUUUUUUUACAUUUUGAAUAACACAUUUAGUAAGACAUAAACAUGUGAUCAGUAUCUAAAAAAAAAACAAAAAACAAAAAACUCAACUUACACUGAAAUCACACACUGAAAGAGAAUUCCUCAUUGGUCAUGACAUCAUUCCAAGAGCACAUUGCUAAUUAGAAGUUAAUGGAAUUGGGUUAAAGGAAUGUAUCUAUAAUGGUGGAUAUAUAAACUUAUCAAAGAAGCUAGUGGCGCUCUAAGAUGGUGUAAACUGAAAGAUACAUGUGACAAAUUCAAGUGCUGUGCAAAAGCAUAAAAAAAAAUCUAGGAUCAGAUUACAUGAACCUUAACCUCAAAAAACAAUGUUAGUCUUAACUGUACGCCUACAAUUCUAAACUCUUGAGUAGUGAAGAUGAAUAACAAAUCAUACAUUCUUUGUUUGGUGCAAACUAUGAUUUGUGGGAUUUAAACCGAAGAAAGAGGGUGGCUGGAAAGUGUACAAGCAGAUUUUACCUGAUACAACAACUUAAGGCGAGAAAUUAAAUAAAAACACCC